GCCCCUAUAGCUCAAUUGGUAGAGCAGAUCCCUCUUAAGGAUAAGGUUGCAGGUCCGAGCCCUGCUGGGGGCA
rfam:Candidatus Nealsonbacteria bacterium RIFCSPHIGHO2_02_FTLL_43_13 rifcsphigho2_02_scaffold_20119, whole genome shotgun sequence.